UCCCAGACAGCACUGCAUGCAAUCAAAGUGUGCAACCUACCCAUAAGAUACUAAGUGCUUUCAUUUCCCUCACUGGGGAGCUAUCGACUGCGUGUGGAACAGUUUGACCCCCCUUCUCUUAUGGAUGAGGAGACUGAAGCCCAGAGGGUAGCUGUUAAGAAGCAGAGCCAGCUUGCAGAGGAUUUUGCUGCCCAGAUGACUCAUGAAUAUGUGAUCUCUUUCCAAGUAGACUGUAUAAAUACCUCAAGUACAAGGAGCAUGUCACCCACUCAUUUUUUAAUCCUCAAACAACUGAGGGC